rnacentral:rRNA from 1 species
CCUACGGGUUGCAGCAGUAGGGAAUCUUCCGCAAUGGACGAAAGUCUGACGGAGCAACGCCGCGUGAGCGAUGAAGGUCUUCGGAUCGUAAAGCUCUGUUGUUAGGGAAGAAACCGUACCGAUCGAAUAGGUCGGUACCUUGACGGUACCUAACCAGAAAGCCACGGCUAACUACGUGCCAGCAGCCGCGGUAAUACGUAGGCGGCAAGCGUUGUCCGGAAUUAUUGGGCGUAAAGCGCGCGCAGGCGGUUCCUUAAGUCUGAUGUGAAAGCCCACGGCUCAACCGUGGAGGGUCAUUGGAAACUGGGGGACUUGAGUGCAGAAGAGGAGAGCGGAAUUCCACGUGUAGCGGUGAAAUGCGUAGAGAUGUGGAGGAACACCAGUGGCGAAGGCGGCUCUCUGGUCUGUAACUGACGCUGAGGCGCGAAAGCGUGGGGAGCAAGCAGGAUUAGAUACCCGCGUAGUC